rnacentral:lncRNA from 1 species
UGGUGCUGUUAUCUGAAAACGGAGAAUUGAAGAAGCCACUCACAAUGCUCAUUACAGGCUCAGUGACAUAUUUCUCCAGAGAUGUGUCUGCAUGUUUACGAUCCGUGGUUGUGUUACAAACCCUUGCCAUAUCAACAAGAAAGUUCUCAAAUAACUUCCAAAUGUGGUUACUGGCAUAGAUUUCUUUCAUUUCCACCUCAGUGUCCACGUAACAGUGGUUAACAAAAUUAACAUAGGCAAUUUUCACCUCAGGUAUGCAGUCAUCAUGGGUCACCACUCUCACUAUAUCAUCCAGCGGCAGGAGUGAAUUGCACUUGAUCUCUGUAUAUACAUUCUUUCCUUCCGUACAAGCUGCUAGCAAUUCCACUAGAGUGAUGUGAUAUGCUAAGGGUCCACUCUCAUCUGCUCGAUCUCGCUCUGAACACAUCAUUUGGAGUAGAACUGGAAAUGAUGCUCUAUCAUUGUAGAAUAUCAGCACAUCUUCACCCCC